CUUCAAUCUAGUUUUCUUUAGCUUUGUGUUCUUUUGAUUAUUCUAUACAGACGGUUGAUUUGUGUAUCUAUGUUUGUUAUUUAUCUGUUAUACAAAUUUUUCAAUGAGCUUGAACCAACAACAACAAUAACAUACAAAGUGUAAUCCCACAAGUAGGGUCUGGGGAGGAUAGGACGUACGCAGACCUUAUCCCUACCUCUGUGGGGCAGAUAGGCUGUUUUUGGUAUACCCUCGGCUCAAAAGAAGUGUAAUCAAAGCAGGGUAGAAAGAAAAAUAAUGACAAAAAAAAGUUAAGUACUAAAAUUUACCGAGACAAAAUCAUCAUUUUGGACAUAGAAUCUGGUCAAGGUUUUCUCAAAAUAUGCAUUCAUUUUUUUUAUUUUUUUAUUUUUAUCUUGCAAGAAUUAAAUAAGAAUUUCAGGUGAGAAAAUAGUGAUAGUCUAAUGAACAAAGAAGUCAUUAUUUAUAGUGUAAAGUAAUUUUUUCAGAUGAAUUAAUGUCACUACUAAUAUGACUGAAAUAAAUAAGGUUGUUGAUUACAGACACACUACUUUGUUGACAUUUGACUGAGUUGUGCCAGUCAAAGACAUUAAAUAUUUUUAAGACCAGUGUCAUAAAGUUAGUCAAAGUUCUCCCUUAAAGGCGAAUUUUAUAUCCCAAAUUUACUGAAGUUCUACCUUAAGGCAGAGUUUGACUGCAAACUCUCCCUUAUCAGGCAGAGUUUGAUAAGUUUUGCAGUCAAACUCUACCUGAUCCGGUAGAGUUUCAUUGCAAAAUCUACUCAAGGUAGACUUUCAGAGUUUGAAACUGAAGGCAGAGGUUGUACGCAAAACUCUGCCUGAAGGGAGAGUUUCCCUGCAAACUUUUGACUUAAAUGCAGAACUUAGAAAUACACUAAUCAUAUUAGAGAAACUUGUGGAUUGAUCAUAAAACACUAAUCAUUUUAGAGAAACUAAAAUCAAUACAGCAUAUGGCUAUAAAGCCAAAAGUACCUAAAACAACAAAAAAGAUUUUUUUUAAAAAACUAACCACUCUCAUGAAACUCAUCAAUUUGUCUGAGAUAAGAUGAAAGUGAUGAGGAUUCAUCAGAAGAGGAGUCGUCAGAUAUGAUAGUAGGAUUCUCAGGGAAUACACCCUUAAGCCUUUUGAGCUUGGCCUUAUCAACCAUAGAAGAAUGACUGGACGAAUCAAACUGCCUCGUCAUCUUGUCAAAUGCAGUAUUAGUGCCAUAUUUCAUACGUUCUCUAUUUAGACUUUUUUGGAAAUAACCAUCAGACAAAAAUUUUGGUCUCAUAGUUUCCCAUUCAGAUUUUAUCAA